UUGGGUUGGGGCAAAAUACGCCUCCUGCAAAUUCAGAACAUAACCGACGCUCACCGCGUCGGUUAUUUUUUUGC
rfam:Pantoea ananatis LMG 20103, complete genome.